AAUAGAUACCCCGGUAGUCCACGCCGUAAACGAUGAGUGCUAGGUGUCGGGGUCUUAUGAUCUCGGUGCUGAAGUCAACGCAUUAAGCACUCCACCUGGGGAGUACGUUCGCAAGAAUGAAACUCAAAGGAAUUGACGGGGGCCCGCACAAGCGGUGGGCCAUGUGGUUUAAUUCGAAGCAACGCGAAGAACCUUACCAAGGCUUGACAUCCUCCUGACCGGUCCUUAACCGGACCUUUCCUUCGGGACAGGAGAGACAGGUGGUGCAUGGUUGUCGUCAGCUCGUGUCGUGAGAUGUUGGGUUAAGUCCCGCAACGAGCGCAACCCUUAUCUUUAGUAACCAGCGGGUGAUGCCGGGGACUCUAGAGAGACUGCCAGGGUGAACCUGGAGGAAGGUGGGGAUGACGUCAAAUCAUCAUGCCCCUUAUGUCUUGGGCUACACACGUGCUACAAUGGCUGCGACAGAGGGAAGCGAAGGGGCGACCUGGAGCGAAACCCAAAAAAGCAGUCCCAGUUCGGAUUGUAGUCUGCAACUCGACUAC
rnacentral:rRNA from 1 species